rnacentral:rRNA from 1 species
GUCCACGCUGUAAACGAUGAGCACUAGGUGUUGCGGGUAUUGACCACUGCAGUGCCGACGCUAACGCAUUAAGUGCUCCGCCUGGAGAGUACGGCCGCAAGGCUAAAACUCAAAGGAAUUGACGGGGGCCCCGCACAAGCGGUGGAGUAUGUGGUUUAAUUCGACGCAACGCGCAGAACCUUACCCGGGUUUGACAUCGAUGGAAUUCUCCAGAAAUAGAGAAGUACCCCUUCGGGGGACCUGAAGACAGGUGCUGCAUGGCUGUCGU